rnacentral:rRNA from 1 species
AGAGCGAACGCUGGCGGCAGGCUUAACACAUGCAAGUCGAGCGCCCCGCAAGGGGAGCGGCAGACGGGAGAGUAACACGUGGGAACGUACCCUUCAGUUCGGAACAACCCAGGGAAACUUGGAUUAAUACCGGAUACGGCUGAGAGGCGAAAGAUUUAUCGCCGGAGGAUUGGCCCGCGUUCGAUUAGCUUGUUGGUGGGUAACGGCCCACCAAGGCUUCGAUCGGUAGCUGGUCUGAGAGGAUGAUCAGCCACACUGGGACUGAGACACGGCCCAGACUCCUACGGGAGGCAGCAGUGGGGAAUAUUGGACAAUGGGCGCAAGCCUGAUCCAGCAAUGCCGCGUGGGUGAAGAAGGUCUUCGGAUUGUAAAGCCCUUUCGGCGGGGACGAUGAUGACGGUACCCGCAGAAGAAGCCCCGGCUAACUUCGUGCCAACAGCCGC